rnacentral:rRNA from 1 species
GCAAGUCGAGCGAACAGACGAGGAGCUUGCUCCUCUGACGUUAGCGGCGGACGGGUGAGUAACACGUGGAUAACCUACCUAUAAGACUGGGAUAACUUCGGGAAACCGGAGCUAAUACCGGAUAAUAUAUUGAACCGCAUGGUUCAAUAGUGAAAGACGGUUUUGCUGUCACUUAUAGAUGGAUCCGCGCCGCAUUAGCUAGUUGGUAAGGUAACGGCUUACCAAGGCAACGAUGCGUAGCCGACCUGAGAGGGUGAUCGGCCACACUGGAACUGAGACACGGUCCAGACUCCUACGGGAGGCAGCAGUAGGGAAUCUUCCGCAAUGGGCGAAAGCCUGACGGAGCAACGCCGCGUGAGUGAUGAAGGUCUUCGGAUCGUAAAACUCUGUUAUUAGGGAAGAACAAAUGUGUAAGUAACUAUGCACGUCUUGACGGUACCUAAUCAGAAAGCCACGGCUAACUACGUGCCAGCAGCCGCGGUAAUACGUAGGUGGCAAGCGUUAUCCGGAAUUAUUGGGCGUAAAGCGCGCGUAGGCGGUUUUUUAAGUCUGAUGUGAAAGCCCACGGCUCAACCGUGGAGGGUCAUUGGAAACUGGAAAACUUGAGUGCAGAAGAGGAAAGUGGAAUUCCAUGUGUAGCGGUGAAAUGCGCAGAGAUAUGGAGGAACACCAGUGGCGAAGGCGACUUUCUGGUCUGUAACUGACGCUGAUGUGCGAA